AUUCAAAUUCCAACUCAAAAUUCAAAAACUCCGAGCGAACGCACCCUAAAAAAGAACAAAAAGAAGAAAAUUCAAACCAAAAAGACAUCAUCAUUCCGCUCACCUACUACUGCUGCUGCGAAGCCCCUUUUCGAAUCGGAGGUCAGUAGGAUUUCGAGGUCCGACAAAAUGACUUUCCAACAAACCAGCAUGUCCUGGCUGGCUCGCUCAAUUGCCAAUACUCUCCGCCUCCAGGAGGAUGAUGAAGACCACCUGCAACUGCAAGAAGAGGACGAAAACACCGUGGAAGAUCGGCGCCUAGAUACCACACUCUCAGUCUCAGCCGCUCAAGAUCUUCGCCUCUCGGAUUGUGAAAGCGAUUGCAGCGGAGAUGAAGAUGCUGGCGACGAUUGCAAUCAAGGACGUGGCGUGAAAGAGGAUUUAUCGGAAUUCAGAGACAAUCUAACGCGUCAGUUGUGGAGCGUCGCUUCCUUCCUUGCUCCUCCGCCCCCGCGACAGGGAUCCGAUUCGUUACGGCUGGAGGAAUCUGAAUCAGAUCGAUCCGUGUCGGAAACUGAUGCGGACGAGAAUGAGGAAUUGGUGGACUACGACGCGAGAUUAGCUUGUCAAUUUGCGGAGCAAGGAAGUUUGUCGUCAUCGGAGAAUCAUUACUCAGAUAUUGUGGAGGAAGCAGUUGGGAUUACUGACGAAGUUUUGGCCUUUGCGAGGAACAUUGCACACCAUCCGGAGACCUGGUUGGAUUUCCCGUUAUCAGAAGAAGAGGAUUUCGACGAUUUUGAGAUAUCAGAUGCCCAACACAAGCAUGCGUUAGCUGUUGAACAUCUGUCAACAAGAUUAGCUGCACUUCGAAUUGAACUUUGCCCAGUUCAUAUGAGUGUGGGCUACUUUUGGAUGGUCUAUUUUCUGCUUCUAUAUUCAAGGUUAAACAAGCACGAUGCUGAUGCAUUGUCUUUGCCGCAGCUUGUGAAAGCACGAGCCAUGUGGAUGCAAGCCCUGCAGAAGCAGACCAACGAGUUGUACGGCUUCGGAGUAAGUACUUCCCACUUAAAAGAAAUCCCAAAUUCGCCCCGGGAGAAUGCUAUGAUACACUUCCAUGGAGAUGCUCAAAUCGGGAAUAUGUCAGACCAGAUAUCUCCUGAAUCUUUGAGGGAUGAGAUUGUGAAGCACCCUGUGAAUGUAGUCGAAUUUGUUGACAAGUCUGUCAUCAGAGAAGAUCUGGCGCCAAUACUCCAGGACAAAGAGAUGAUCACAAGUUCAUCCUUGGAACCACGGGUCAAGGAAGCUAAUGAUGACGACAAUGAUGAUUGGCUGAAGGAAGAUGCAGACUUAAUCGGGUAUUCCAGCCAAUCAGUCAUGGUAAGUGACGAAGACAUAUCAUUUAGUGAUCUGGAGGAUGAUUGCAAUGCACCAGUGGAGCACAAAGUAUUCCCGUCUUAAGUGAACAUUACUGCCAGAAGCUCACAAGUUCUUGCAAUGGAUAGAUCACUUUCCAGGCCUCUUUUUGGCAUCCAAGGUACCUUAAAUGCAAUACUCGCUGCAAUUAAUUCUGCAUUGUGAUUGAUCUGUUGAAAGUAUUACAGGUUCGGCUGUUAAGGAGAAGUGACUUGAAGGUCGAGCCUCAACCCUGCUUUUCGUAAGGGAUAGCCCGGUGGUGUAGGGGUUGGACUUGUGAUCGUGAGGUUAUGAGUUCAAACUUCUGAUGCCUCAGGUCACCUGCAACACAUGGUUCGUUCGCCUAGUAUGACUUGCGUGUCGGGCCUAGUUUGCAGGGUAAAUAAAAAAACUAGUGUUUGGUUUGACAUAUUAGCUAUUUAAUGAUUAAAAAAAUGAUGUGUUUAAAUAUUUUUAACAUUAUAUUUCAAUAAAAUAUACACAAUAUGAAUAAUAUUUAUAUGUCAAUAAAAUAUACUACUUCA